rnacentral:rRNA from 1 species
UACGAAGGGGGCUAGCGUUGCUCGGAUUGACUGGGCGUAAAGGGCGCGUAGGCGGUUUGUACAGUCAGACGUGAAAUUCCUGGGCUCAACCUGGGGGCUGCGUUUGAUACGUGCAGACUUGAGUUCGGAAGAGGGUCGUGGAAUUCCCAGUGUAGAGGUGAAAUUCGUAGAUAUUCGGAAGAACACCAGUGGCGAAGGCGGCUCACUGAUCCGGUACUGACGCUGAGGUGCGAAAGCGUGGGGAGCAAACAGG